rnacentral:rRNA from 1 species
CUUACACAUGCAAGUCGAGCGGGCGUAGCAAUACGUCAGCGGCAGACGGGUGAGUAACGCGUGGGAACGUACCUUUUGGUUCGGAACAACCCAGGGAAACUUGGACUAAUACCGGAUAAGCCCUUACGGGGAAAGAUUUAUCGCCGAAAGAUCGGCCCGCGUCUGAUUAGCUAGUUGGUGAGGUAACGGCUCACCAAGGCGACGAUCAGUAGCUGGUCUGAGAGGAUGAUCAGCCACAUUGGGACUGAGACACGGCCCAAACUCCUACGGGAGGCAGCAGUGGGGAAUAUUGGACAAUGGGCGAAAGCCUGAUCCAGCCAUGCCGCGUGAGUGAUGAAGGCCCUAGGGUUGUAAAGCUCUUUUGUGCGGGAAGAUAAUGACGGUACCGCAAGAAUAAGCCCCGGCUAACUUCGUGCCAGCAGCCGCGGUAAUACGAAGGGGGCUAGCGUUGCUCGGAAUCACUGGGCGUAAAGGGUGCGUAGGCGGGUCUUUAAGUCAAGGGUGAAAUCCUGGAGCUCAACUCCAGAACUGCCCUUGAUACUG